GACAGAAAUUUACUUCUUACAGUUCUAGAAGCUGGGACUUCCAAGAUCCAUUCAGGAGACUCGUGUCUGAUGAGAACUUGCUCUCUGCUGAAAACAUGUCACCGUCUUGCUAAAUCCUCACAUGGAAGAAGGGGCAAGGACACUCCAUCUGAUUGCUUUUAAUAAGAGGAUCGACUCUCAUGAGCUCACCACCUCCUAAGGCCCUAUCUCUAAUACUAUCAUAUUGGUGAUUGAGUUUCAAUAUUUUGAGGGGAUACAUUCAGAACAUAGCAAACAGUAUGCAUCAGUUUAGAUUUUUCUCUGGAAUGGUUGAGGCCACAGGGUAGAUUAGGCAGAAUUAGAGUUUUACCAAGAGACUAUGAUAAAGUGAGAGGGAAGAAAAUAGAAUUGCACAAAUGUGCAAGGAGUAAUGACCAUGAUGGAACAUGGAAUUUAGACAAAAAGCCAUGGAGUAAGGGACAGCAAAAAGGUAAUAGAAUAAAUGAAACUGUUGUCUCAAUAAGAGUUAUUAGAAAUUACGUGCUUAAAACUGUGAUUUAUGCCUUUCUGUUAAUGGUAAUGGUUAGAUCUUCUAGGUCAUGAUCAUUCAUGUCACUGGGAAUACAAGAUUAUAGGAAAAGAAGAGCUCAAUAAACCAAGAGUCCAAGGCGAUGAAAGAAUCUUCCAUGUGGAUACUGAAGUAGAACUGAAUAGUGUCUGACAGUAGGUCAAACACUAAACAAGAGCAGGAGAGUCUAUAUUCUGAUAACACAGGUUUAAGGAUUAGGGUUUAUAGAGAAGAGAGAUUGUUUAGAAGUAGUAAUGAAAUGCAAAUGGGGUAUCUACCCAUUUCCAGGCCCAGUAAUGUGAAAGGUAUGGAAUAGGAC
rnacentral:lncRNA from 1 species